GGCUCAGAAUGAACGCUGGCGGCGCGCCUAAUACAUGCAAGUCGAGCGAGAAGACGUAGCAAUACGUUUGUAAAGCGGCGAACGGGUGAGGAAUACAUGGGUAACCUACCCUCGAGUGGGGAAUAACUAGCCGAAAGGUUAGCUAAUACCGCAUACGACUCCUGGUCUGCGGAUCGGGAGAGAAAGCGAUACCGUGGGUAGCGCGCUCUUGGAUGGGCUCAUGUCCUAUCAGCUAGUUGGCGAGGUAACGGCUCACCAAGGCUUCGACGGGUAGCUGGUCUGAGAGGACGAUCAGCCACACUGGCACUGCGACACAGGCCAGACUCCUACGGGAGGCAGCAGUAAGGAAUAUUGCGCAAUGGACGAAAGUCUGACGCAGCGACGCCGCGUGGGGGAUGAAGGUCUUCGGAUUGUAAACCCCUUUCGGGAGGGAAGAUGGAGUGGGUAACCACUUGGACGGUACCUCCAGAAGCAGCCACGGCUAACUUCGUGCCAGCAGCCGCGGUAAUACGAAGGUGGCAAGCGUUGUUCGGAUUCACUGGGCGUACAGGGAGCGUAGGCGGUUGGGUAAGCCCUCCGUGAAAUCUCCGGGCCUAACCCGGAAAGUGCAGAGGGGACUGCUCAGCUAGAGGAUGGGAGAGGAGCGCGGAAUUCCCGGUGUAGCGGUGAAAUGCGUAGAGA
rnacentral:rRNA from 1 species